UGUUACUUGGUGUAGUGGUUUGAGCAUACGACUAGGACUCUGGGGAUCAGGGUUCGAAUCCCAGCUCAGCCA